rnacentral:lncRNA from 1 species
UAAAAUAAACACUAAAAGCAAAAUCUUCAACCACCCUAAUCAUACUAGAACUAAUUCUUUCCAUAAUACAAUUUAUGGGAUAAAAAUCUAAUCAAAGUAGACUCUAAUUUGAAUGAAUCUUGUCUCUACCUAAAUUUCCAAAUAAUUCAAGUCAAUUUGAAUAUUCCUCCAAUGACUUCAAAUGUCUAAAAAAAUAUAUAUUUACCUUGUUUCUCUUUCGCACCUUAUCACAUUAUUUUUGUAUGACCAAGAGUCCAACAGAAGAGUUAAAAAUGUCUUUUUAAGAAAGAGUCAAUGAUAGAAAUUUGUAUGGCCAACAAAUAAUGUUCCUAGCUUUUCUUUCUCCUGUUAAAAUCAUGAUAGGGAUUCAUAUGACCAGGAAAAAAAAUCUUAGGGUAAAUUACACUUUUGGUCCUCAAAUUAUAAUGUUUGUGACAUUUUGAUUUUCAAAGUUUAAUUUAUGAUAACUUCUGGUUAAAACUUUAUAAAUCAUUACAAUCAAACUACAGAAUCUAAUUUACUUGUCUAAGUAUUAACGUAUUGCCGUUGUGGACGUAACGUGACAUCUUGCUUAUUGUCCUGUCAUCAUUCAUAACAAUAUCACAUCAUUUGCAUAUUUGCGACACAUUAAUAUUUAUUCAACUAAAUUGGGAUGUGGAGUUUGAUUGCAACAACUUAGAUAAUUCGAGUGACACAUUGUAACAAAUUAAAGUUUGAGGAUCAAAUCGUAUAGCGUGUCUCAUGGUUUGAGACCAAAAUUGUAAUUUAGCUUUUUUGUUUUUAGGCACCUUCUAAAAAUUCUUUUUUCUAGUCAUAUGAAUCUCUAUCAUGAUUUUGAUAGAGAAACCAAAAACCUAAAAACAUUGUUUGUUGGCCAUACAAAUUCCUAUCAUUGACCCUUCCUUCAAAGAAUAGGUAUUUAAGGGAGGACAACGGAUCGGAUACGGUCGGAUAUUUGAUGAAACUGUAUCUAUUUUUAUUUUUUAAUACAAAUUCGGAUGUGUAUAUAUUUCGAAUGCUAAAUUUUUGUUAUUAUAUCUGCUAAAAACGAAUUUGGAUACAAUCAAAUACUUCGUAGGAUUUGAAUAUGGAUCUGAUUUGUAUUUGGGUAUUAUUUUAAUGAGAAUCAAGACAUUAUUAUUGUUUGGUUUAGAAAAAUUUAAU